GUAAGCAACCCCGGUCUAAAGACACGGGGCUUCAGCAAAUGUUGAAGUCCUAGCUUACCACACUAAGUACCUUGCGUACUACGUUCAGAACAAGUGUUAAAGUUCCUACCUACAAAUGCGCAGCUAGUUUGUAGCUCUAGA
rnacentral:sRNA from 25 species